rnacentral:rRNA from 1 species
GACGAACGCUGGCGGCGUGCUUAACACAUGCAAGUCGAACGGUAAGGCCCCAGCUUGCUGGGGUACACGAGUGGCGCACGGGUGAGUCACACGUGGGAGACCUGCCCCGCACUUCGGGAUCAGCCUGGGAAACUGGGUCUAAUACCGGAUAGUUCCGCCCCGUCAGGGUGUGGUUGGGAGUUGUUCGGUGUGGGGGGGGCCCGCGGCCUCUCAGCUUGUUGGUGGGGUAGUGGUCUCCCAAGGCGGCGUCGGGUAGCCGGCCUGAGAGGGUGGACGGCGACACUGGGACGGAGACUACGCGCAGACGCAGACGGGAGGCAUCAGUGGGGGAUGCUGCACUAUGGGCGGAAGGCUGAUGCAGCGACGACGGGUGGCGGAUGACGGCCUUCGGUUUGUAAGCACCUUUGACCAUCGACGAAGGUUGUCUGACGGUAGAUGGAGAAGAAGCGCCGGCUAACUACGUG